rnacentral:lncRNA from 1 species
AUGGUCCCUCUCGUUUACCUUUAACGUGUUUGACUCCACGCGCAAAUGACGUUUGCAGGUAACCCCCCAGAUCAGGGAAAUUAGAGAGAAUUCAUCUAAUUUAUAAUCUCCAACGCAUGACAUUUGGCAACAUGUACAAAGUGCAGCGUACUCUACUCUCCUCCUUGAAUCUCGAGACAUUUUUCAAAGGUUGUCUUGCUUGCUCAGAGCCCCACAGGUUACCUGCAUCUCGGAGGCAUCUAUACAGCUCUGUGCGACACGGUGCAGCUAUUAAUUGGCUCAGGCAAACCAAGGAAAUUCUAUUCUACGUUCAGAAGACACCGAUCAAACAGGACUCGCACUAGAUGCUACCGGUAAACUUCAAGAGGAUCUAUUUUGGGCUGAAAUCAUCCCAUACAAAGACCCGACAAGGAUGGGACCUGUAGGCCCUUACUUUCAAUCAAAUCGUAUGAAAUCAUAUAAUGAGCUGGUUCAAGUUCUUCUCCAAAAUGCCUCGGCUUUGCGCUAGUCUUAUUUGGAUGAUAGACUGGGGCUCUUACGACAAGGAUCGUUGAAGCUUAGGCAAACACCGAGGCACGACAAGUGUAGACAUCUGAGCAAAGAGGAUCUGAAGGACGAAUUGAAGCAAGGAGAAUCUUCAUACUAUCGCCAAAUAUAUGUAUAGAGAAUAAUUGUAGGCGCCACAGCAAAACGAGAGGGUUGUAGGCAAAGUGUUGUUGAAUGAUGGAUGCUCGAAUCAAACGAUCGUAGACUAACUUACAGAAGGAAACUGUGGCGAAAAGGUUGUACUGGAGGAAAAAUUGCCACCUUUCCUUCAACUUGCAGAUUUGAUUUGCAAAGUCCUGAGUGCAAAGUAUGGUAAGCCGAUUUCUGUGCGCUCUUUGUCCGGUAUCAUCCAUGCCUGGUGGAAGAAGUCUGGUUGAAGCAGUUCUUUAUCGAAUUUAGAAUUGGUAUCGUACGAGUGACUGGGUAAUGUCUUGAUCAUUCGGCAAAGAAGUAGGACUAAAUACACAGGAUUAAGUGCUUGCGCAUAAUAAGGCACAUGGGGUCUCGGAAUACCUCCUCGGGUAUCCUGUUCUCCUGAUACAAAACUAAAAUUUUGGCCAAAAUUUGAAAUUUCAGAGCCGCUGUUCUAGAUUAUUACUUCUGGUAUUUGAUUCUGGCAUAGAUAUAUUAUCCAUGAUUCUGGCUUUCAAUUUCCCUUCUUCCUGAUUUCAGUUCAGAAAAAAAGGUUCUGGCAUUCAUACCGUGCAUCAAGAGAGAGGAAUAUACAUAUUUCAGGAUGUCCUCGGGUCAUUCUCUGCCCAUUUUGCAUGCGAAUCCAUCUAACCGAAAACUACAUCAUUUGACAAGAAGAUAUUUGCGAUAACUCCGAACCAUCAUUAGUGUUUCCAAUUGAAAUGGUUCCUUCAGAAAAGCAAAAAAAUUGUAAUAUCUUUAUAGUUCGUAGUCGUUGUUCAAUUUUGUAAUCAGAUCCUUACUUCCCAGAUUGAAAUAUA